CCUACGGGCGUCAGCAGUGAGGAAUAUUGGUCAAUGGUCGGGAGACUGAACCAGCCAAGCCGCGUGAGGGAGGAAGGUACAGAGUAUCGUAAACCUCUUUUGUCAGGGAACAAAGACUGGGACGCGUCCCCGGAUGAGUGUACCUGAAGAAAAAGCAUCGGCUAACGCAGUGCCAGCAGCCGCGGUAAUACGGAGGAUGCGAGCGUUAUCCGGAUUUAUUGGGUUUAAAGGGUGCGCAGGCGGUCUGUUAAGUCAGCGGCCAAAGCCCGGGGCUCACCCCCGGCCCGCCGUUGAAACUGGCAGUCGCGAGUUGGAGAGAAGUAUGCGGAAGGCGCGGUGUAGCGGUGAAACGCAUAGAUAUCGCGCAGAACUCCGAUUGCGAAGGCAGCAUGCCGGCUCCACACUGACGCUGAGGCACGAAAGCGUGGGUAUCGAACAGGAUUAGAUACCCCAGUAGUC
rnacentral:rRNA from 1 species